AACAACUUUGUGUUUGUGGGAAGUAAGGAUACGAGUCUCAGGUAACGUUCAGCAGUAGAGUCCGCCAUCCCGCAGCCUGGCAAUCCCAAGCACUAAACCCUCAAUGUUAAGCUGAUGAUACAGUUGCUGACCCUAGUCAUACAUCACUGUACAGUCUAGGUGGAGCUCAGGCAGCUUGUAUACCAUAAUUUAUGCAUGUUAGCAGACACAUCAGUAAGAGGGAGGAAAAAACUAUACGGUCCCGCCUACGGCACACUUUGUCCCCUGUGUCCUAAAAGGGCAUGCCCGUCCCCAAUUAUCCGACCCCGGGUGGAUCCAAC